rnacentral:tRNA from 1 species
GGAGAGGUACCCAAGUGGCCAAAGGGGACAGACUGUAAAUCUGCUGGCAAACGCCUUCGCUGGUUCAAAUCCAGCCCUCUCCACCA